UUUUUUUUUUUUUUGUUUUUUUCUGAAACAUUGUGUCUUUCUUCCAGAGCAGGAACAGAGGCUAUAAUGUUAUCUUGGCCACAUAUUUGUGGCACAUCUGAGAACUGUUUGCAUAAAUGCACUGGCUAGAAGCCACAUCUACUAGUCCAAAACCUAUUCUAAUAUUGACAAGACAAUAAAGAAGAAUGGUGUGUGCCAAGUUGUUUGACAAAACUUGCCAAGGAAGUCACCAUGCCUGCUUUCUUUUUCCAUUGUGUAUUCAAUACCUAACACAAUGCCUGAUAUAGAGCUGGUGACUAACAAUUUAUUGGAGAAAAGAGUGGAGUCUUUAGCAGGGAUUUAUCUGUAUGCUUUUUAUGGUAAAAACUUGAACAGUGUAAUUUGUUACCAGGCUGGCUGACCACCAGCCCCCUCUGCCUUCAUGGCAGCAUCCACAGCUUCUGGAUUGGUAACUGAGACCAUUGAGACCUCCUGCCUUUGCUCCCUAACAGCCUUCUCCAGGGUCUGCUUUUAAAGCAUGGUCAGCUCCUCCCAGUCCACCUUCCAUCCCAGUGGUGGGUGUUCCCAAAAAGGUGGCUUCUGUUUUUCCUUCCCACCAGCCUCUGUCAUCAAAGAUCAUUUGUGUCUCAUACCCAGCCAAGUCCCCAAACCUUGAACAACCACACUGACAUUUUGCUGUUGGCACUGGAAUCAGAGAGUACCAUGCUACAAUUUGAGUGCUGGAAUGCCAUUGUAAUGACAGACUUUGCCUAGUCUCAUUUUUCCAUGAUGAGUAGGCUAGCGGGCUAGAAUGAGUAAUCAUAGGCAGAAUGAGGCCAUGAAAAUACUUUUUACCCAGGGUUGCAGAUAUGGGUUUGUGAGUAAAAAUGAUGUUAAGUCAAAGAGAAUGCAGGGUAAAAGAGAAGCCCAGGUAGUCAAAGGCAGGGGAGUCUGUGACUGGUGUCAGGAGCUGGAAUGGUGUGGACUGGAGACCAGAGACUAUUAAAGGAUAGAGCCAAGAUAGCUGCAGCCAAAAGCUGAGCUUUUACAUGCUUCUAGAGGUACAUGGCAUGCAUGGUUCAAAUUUGUUUAAAUGUCCUAGGAUGAAGCAGACAAAACAGAGAAUGAUUGUUAAAGAGGCUACUGCAGUUAAGCGAGAAUUAUUAAAAGAUAGGGGAGUCACAGUGGGAACAGAGAGGCCAGGAACAGAUUCUAAAGUCAUUUCAGAGCAGUGGAAAUGAAUCCAACUAGGAACCGUGAGGAUGGGGGUUUGAUCCCUAGCCUCACUCAGUGGUUUAAGGAUCUGAUGUUGCUGUGGCUGUGGUGUAGGCCAGCAGCUGUAGCUCUGAUUAGACCCCUAGCCUGGAAACCUCCAUAUGCCUCGGGUGCAGCCCUUAAAUGCAAAAAUAAAUAAAUAAAUACAUAAAUAAAUACUUAAAGUCAUUUCAGAUACAGAAGUAGUGGGAACGAAUGAUUGUACUGCUCAGCCAAAAGUCAGGAGUUCUAGAUGUAUAAGUUGUGGUGGGGAGAAAGUGAGAAUGGAAAAAACUCAAAUGACAGAAUAUGGUCCAUUGUAAGAACUCAGAAAGCACAAUGAUCACCGUCAUGGGUCCUUUUCAAACUGGCUAUUUCUUUAUUUUUUACUUUUUGGUCUUUUUGUCUUUUCUAGGGCCGUUCCAGUGGCAUAUGGAAGUUCCCAGACUAGGGGUCAAAUGAGAGCUGCAGCUGCCGGCCUUACACCACAGCCACACCAAGGCCAGAUCUGAGCCACCUCUGUGACCUACAGCACAGCUCAUGGCAAAGCCACAAGGGGAACACCCAAGAUUUUAUUUUUUAAUUUUUAAAAUGUUCUUUUUUAGUUUUAUUGACACAUAGUUGAUUUACAAGGUUGUGAUAAUUUCGCUGUACAACAAAGUGACUCAAUCGUACAUAUACACAUGCCCAUUCUCUUUCAGAUUCUUUUCUCACAUAAAUCAUCACAGAACACUGGGUAGAGUUCUCUGGGCUCUACACAGGUCCCCGCUGACCAGUCAUUCCAUAUUCCUCACUGUGCACAUGCCAAUCCCAAACUCCUAGGCCAUCCCUCCCACCAGUCAUUCUUUUGAUUCAGCAGUGAGAUGGGAAAGGAUCCUGUGACUGGGAGUCUGGGAAAGGAACCUGGGUUCUAAUCCAAGGUCUGAGUUCACUGGUCUGUGUUUAUCUUAGGCCAGCCACCCUCUUUGGGCUGCUAUUGCUUCAUGUUAAAACAAGAGGGUUGGAUGAGACAACUGGCAAAGUCCCUCCCCAGGUUAAUAGGUAAUGAUUCCUAUGAUUUUAGCAAAGGACAUCAUUCAGAAGGAUGAUGGUAAGUCAAUUUCUGUUUUAAGACUCUUGAUGAUAAUAUAUAAACUGGAUCUAGGAAAAUAACAGAUGAGAAAAAGAAACGGAAUUAAAGAACUCUGACCAGGUAAUUUCUACAUUCUUUCCAACUUUGAAAUCCCAUUAUCCAAAUGGUAAUCUCAGAGCAUUUUGUAAUAUUUCAAAGGACUCUCGAUUGAUUGAUCCUUUCCGAUCCUCAGUGGGACAAUACGAAGUAGUUAAGAGGGAAAUUAUACCCACACUCCACAAAUGAAGCAACUAAAGAUUAGGUGGUGACCUUGGUCACCAGGCUAGUUGGGGACAGAGCUGGGACAGAAAGGCUUUCUGACCUGAGCUCUGUCCACUACACCAUGGCUUUCCCUGACUCAAUAAAUAUUAACUGUUUAAGAAGGUUGCUUAACACAAACUGCAUUUUAUUCCAGUUGGACAGAUGAGUAAUCCUCAGUAAUGAAUUCCUUUUUUUGAAAGUCCAAAGUCUUUAGUUCAUCAGUUUUUGAGUCACUAUUUCAACCUUCCUCAAAUUCAAAAUCAGAAAAGCUGGUGAGUAGGUUUUUUGUUUUUUGUUUUUCUCUUCAGCUUAAAAAAGUCAAGUAAAUAAUAUGCUAAACUCUCUAUAACCAAGAACUUUUCCCAAAAACCAUGAGCCUUUUAGGACAUUUAGCAACUAUGACUAAGCAGUUCAUCUUUCAGUUACAUAUACCUAUAUUUAAUGCUGUGUUUAUGGAAAAGACUAAUUUAGCAUGUUUUCACUCUUUAAAAAUAGUAACGGGGAGUUCUCGUCGUGGCGCAGUGGAAACCAAUCCGACUAGGAACCAUGAGGUUUCGGGUUCAAUCCCUGGCCUCCCUCAGUGGGUUAAGGAUCUGGCAUUGCCGUGAGCUGUGGUGUAGGUCACAGACGUGGCUCAGAUCUGGUGUUGCUGUGGUUGUGGUGUAGACUGGCAGCUAUAGCUCUGAUUUGACCCCUAGCCUGGGAACCUCCACAUGCUGCAGGUACAGCCCUAAAAAGACAAAAGACAAAAAAAAAAAAGUAAUAUAUUUUAUACUAUUAAAGCAGCUUAUUAUUAUUUUAUGGCAGUUUUACACACACAUAAUAAGAGAAAAAAUUCUAUCAGUACAGAUGAGUAUAAAACAGAUAUGAUCUCCAUACCAUUGCAGCCCAGGCUCACUCUUCAGAAACGAGGUACAACAGGUGCCCUUGCUAGAUGGUGUUGUGGUUUU
ensembl:lncRNA